GACGAACGCUGGCGGCGUGCCUAACACAUGCAAGUCGGGCGAAUGAAGUUCCUUCGGGAAUGGAUUUAGCGGCGGACGGGUGAGUAACACGUGGGCAACCUGCCUCAUAGAGGGGAAUAGCCUUCCGAAAGGGAGAUUAAUACCGCAUAAGAUUGUAGUACCGCAUGAUACAGCAAUUAAAGGAGCAAUCCGCUAUGAGAUGGGCCCGCGGCGCAUUAGCUAGUUGGUGAGGUAACGGCUCACCAAGGCGACGAUGCGUAGCCGACCUGAGAGGGUGAUCGGCCACAUUGGGACUGAGACACGGCCCAGACUCCUACGGGAGGCAGCAGUGGGGAAUAUUGCACAAUGGGGGAAACCCUGAUGCAGCAACGCCGCGUGAGUGAUGACGGCCUUCGGGUUGUAAAACUCUGUCUUCAGGGACGAUAAUGACGGUACCUGAGGAGGAAGCCACGGCUAACUACGUGCCAGCCGCCGCUGUAAAAC
rnacentral:rRNA from 1 species